rnacentral:rRNA from 1 species
GUGGGGAAUCUUGCGCAAUGGGCGAAAGCCUGACGCAGCCAUGCCGCGUGAAUGAUGAAGGUCUUAGGAUUGUAAAAUUCUUUCACCGGGGACGAUAAUGACGGUACCCGGAGAAGAAGCUCCGGCUAACUUCGUGCCAGCAGCCGCGGUAAUACGAAGGGGGCUAGCGUUGCUCGGAAUUACUGGGCGUAAAGGGCGCGUAGGCGGACAGCUUAGUCAGAGGUGAAAGCCCAGGGCUCAACCUUGGAGUUGCCUUUGAUACUGGCUGUCUUGAGUUUGGGAGAGGUGAGUGGAACUCCGAGUGUAGAGGUGAAAUUCGUAGAUAUUCGGAAGAACACCAGUGGCGAAGGCGACUCACUUGCCCUUUACUGACGCUGAGGCGCGAAAGCGUGGGGAGCAAACAGGAUUAGAUACCCGAGUAGUCC